rnacentral:rRNA from 1 species
UACGAAGGGGGCUAGCGUUGCUCGGAUUGACUGGGCGUAAAGGGCGCGUAGGCGGUUUGUACAGUCAGACGUGAAAUUCCUGGGCUCAACCUGGGGGCUGCGUUUGAUACGUGCAGACUUGAGUUCGGAAGAGGGUCGUGGAAUUCCCAGUGUAGAGGUGAAAUUCGUAGAUAUUGGGAAGAACACCGGUGGCGAAGGCGGCGACCUGGUCCGAUACUGACGCUGAGGCGCGAAAGCGUGGGGAUCAAACAGG